rnacentral:rRNA from 1 species
UACGUAGGGGGCAAGCGUUAUCCGGAUCUACUGGGUGUAAAGGGAGCGUAGACGGCAGCGCAAGUCUGGAGUGAAAUGCCGGGGCCCAACCCCGGAACUGCUUUGGAAACUGUGCAGCUCGAGUGCAGGAGAGGUAAGCGGAAUUCCUAGUGUAGCGGUGAAAUGCGUAGAUAUUAGGAGGAACACCAGUGGCGAAGGCGGCUUACUGGACUGUAACUGACGUUGAGGCUCGAAAGCGUGGGGAGCAAACAGG